ACCAUAUCUUUUUGUGUGUUUAAUUUUUCAGGAGAUUGUCUGAUAUCCAUUAUCCUUAUUGAUUUAUUUUUUCGUCUUGCAAUGACAACUGACCAAACAGUUCUAUUAAGAACUACUCUUCUUUCUCUGCCUUCUGCCUUCUUUCCCUUAUUUCUGUAUUCACCUUUUGUGUACCUGACUAUCGGUUAUGACAGGUGUACCACUUGCUUUUGGAGUAGAUGACAUCUAUUCUGGGACAGGCAGUUGUCCUACACUGGACAGCUGGGGUGAUGUCAAAUCCUGAACACUUUCAGGCAAAGCAUUUAAAGCAUGCCAUAUAUUUUGAGGAUAAUGGCAUCCAAAAAUAUUGCUUUCCUUGCUUUUGUUUGAGUUCCCGACAAAGGAAGAGGUGA
rnacentral:lncRNA from 1 species